rnacentral:misc_RNA from 1 species
CAUGGCUACCCUCAAACUCCAGAAAAGGAGCUUAUUUUCUCCUCCCCAUAAAACCUUGUUCCACUUCUCAACCUGGUACUCUCCGCCACCAACAGCGCCUUUCCAUGAAGAUCCAAUUCUGUCAGUUAUCUCCAAUGCAAUCAAAAACUGCGAAGCAAAGCCGCUACAUAUCUCGCUCAAGAAAAUCCUCCCUUCCGUCAAUGCCCAUCACGUUAUCAGCCUCAUAAACCACAAUCCUCAUUCCCUCUCUCCACAGUUUCUUUUUUCUUUCUUCAACUUCCUCUCUUCAUGCCCCUUCUUUCGCCACACAAUUCAGUCCUAUUGCACAAUGGUCCAUUUCCUUGCUGCCCACCAAAUGCACUCGCAAGCCCAAUCUCUGCUUCAUUUCGUUGUCUCUCGCAAAGGGAAGGGCUCAGCUUCUUCACUUUUUGUUUCAAUUAUCGAAACUAAAGGUACCCACUUGUCAAAUUCCGUGUUUGAUGCUUUAAUGAAUGCAUAUACUGAUUUGGGAUUCAUAUCAGAUGCUAUUCAGUGUUUUAGAUUGGUUAGAAAGCAUAAUUUUCAAAUCCCAUUUCAUGGUUGUAAGUUCUUGCUUGAUAAAAUUAUUAAAACGAGCUUGCCUCUGGUGGCUUGGAGGUUUUAUUUGGAGAUUUUGGAUUCUGGAUAUCCUCCAAAUGUAUAUAGUUUUAAUAUUUUAAUUAAUAGAUUAUGUAAAGAAGGUAAAAUUAAGGAUGCACGUAUGAUUUUCGAUACAAUUGGAAAGCGGGGUAUGCGGCCUACAGUUGUUAGUUUUAAUACUUUGAUCAAUGGAUAUUGCAAGUCGGGGAAUUUAGAGGAAGGUUUUAGGUUGAAGAUUGUUAUGGAGGAGAGUAGGAUUCUUCCUGAUGUUUUUACUUA